rnacentral:rRNA from 1 species
UACAGAGGUCCCAAGCGUUGUUCGGAAUCACUGGGCGUAAAGGGCGCGUAGGCGGCCCUCCUUGUCGCGUGUGAAAGCCCCGGGCUCAACCUGGGAACGGCGCGCGAGACGGGGGGGGCUGGAGUUCGGGGAGAGGAGGCGUGGAAUUCCCAGUGUAGAGGUGAAAUUCGUAGAUAUGGGAAGAACACCGGUGGCGAAGGCGGCGCUCUGGACCGAGACUGACGCUGAGGCGCGAAAGCGUGGGGAGCAAACAGG